rnacentral:ncRNA from 2 species
AAACGGCGCCACGUGACGGGUUCCCCGAGAGGGGAAGCAAAAGGGAACGCGGUUUAACGCCGCGGCUGCCCCCGCAACUGUGACCGGCGAGCCGGCGCGCCUUCAUGCCACUGGGACCUGUCCCGGGAAGGCGGCGCGACCAGCAUUGACCCGGGAGCCAGGAGACCUGCCCGCCGCCGCUGUUCAUC